AUGUCUGAGGUUAUAUAGGAUGACCUGAUCUGACACUUGAGUCAGACUUGCCGGUAUUCCAGUUUGCCCUACCCCUCCCUGGGUUUGUCACCUUGAAAAUUUUUUUUUCACUUACUUACUUAUAAUAGAGUCAGGGUCUCACUACAUUGCCUAGGCUGACCUCAAACUCCCGGGCUCAAGCGAUCUUCCUGCCUCAAACUCCCAAAGUGCUGGGAUUACAGGUGUGAGCCACUGCACCCAGCCUGAACCUCAGUUUUUAAAAAAUUAAAUAUCAAAUGGAUUUUAUUAGUAGAGUUUGAUAGACAAGAUAGAAUAUAUCCAAGGAGGCAAGAAAGAGGUGUAUUUCAGAAAAAAAAGAAAAAAGAAAAGAAAUGUCUAGCCUUAUAUUUCAUCCAUUAAUUUUUUUUUUUUUUGAGACAGAGUCUUGAUCUGUUGCCCAGCCUGGAGUACAGUGGUGCCAUCUCGGCUCACUGCAACCUCCGCCUCCCAGGUUCAAGUGAUUCUCCUGCCUCAGCCUCCGGAGUAGCUGGGAUUACAGGCACCUGCCACCACACCUGGCUAAUUUUUGUAUUUUUAGUAGAGAUGGUGUUUCACCAUGUUUGCCAGGCUGGUCUCGAACUUCUGACCUCAAAUGAUCCACCGGCUGGCCUCCCAAAGUGCUCGGAUUACAGGCAUGAGCCACCCAUCAUCCGAUAAAGCUUUUAAUUUACAUUUUGUCUUACCCAGAUGGCGUGUGAUACAUUUCUCAUAUUUGUUCUUUUCUUUUGGGUGAUUUCAAAUGGAAUUCCAGGGCUUAGCCUUGAGAAGGCUACUGGGGCUGAGAAUCUCAGCAAAAGUGAGAACUUGUGACGGUGAAUAACUCUUCUCUUUCCUGGUACCUGGACUUCAGAGAUUAAUACAAAACCCUGUGGGUCAGGACUUGGCAACACCAAGAAGCAUUCAAAUAUAAUGAUUUAUUCAACUGUGUAUUGUCAUGGAAAUAAUAAUUAAAUGGCACAUCUUUGUUGUCUGAAAGGGAUAGAUACUUGUGCUUCUCUUGUUGAGCUAUAUAAAA
ensembl:lncRNA UCA1-AS1 UCA1 antisense RNA 1